UACGUAGGGGGCAAGCGUUGUCCGGAAUCAUUGGGCGUAAAGCGCGUGUAGGCGGUUCGGUAAGUCGGCUGUGAAAGUCCAGGGCUCAACCCUGGGAUGCCGGUCGAUACUGCCGGACUAGAGUUCGGAAGAGGCGAGUGGAAUUCCCGGUGUAGCGGUGGAAUGCGCAGAUAUCAGGAAGAACACCCGUGGCGAAGGCGGCUCUCUGGGACGGUACUGACGCUGAGACGCGAAAGCGUGGGGAGCGAACAGG
rnacentral:rRNA from 1 species